GCGCACACAGCUGUAUACAAACUCCGUAUACGAGUUAUUGUAAGUGAUUGAAAAAGUCAGCACAACGAAAAUAAACUACACCUAAACUCGGUUUAUAUCUGACCCAAAUACAGUGCAGGUCAUAACUUCUUACCUGAAAUUCAGUUCACCUCACGCUCCUGCCUUCGCUUUCCCUGAUCCACGAUUGACCUCCGCGUUGGCAAACACCGGUCGAUCGGCGGUAGCCUCACCGCCUUGUAUGUCUCGUUCGCGGCAUGUCCUUUCUGUCACACACCGGUGGAUAGCUGCCCUCUGUUGUAGCUCCACCACCAAACAACUCAGUUAUUUUUUCC
ensembl:lncRNA